rnacentral:rRNA from 1 species
GACGAACGCUGGCGGCGUGCUUAACACAUGCAAGUCGAGCGGUAAGGCCUUUCGGGGUACACGAGCGGCGAACGGGUGAGUAACACGUGGGUGAUCUGCCCUGCACUUCGGGAUAAGCCUGGGAAACUGGGUCUAAUACCGGAUAUGGCCUCCUAUCGCAUGGUGGGUGGUGGAAAGAUUUAUCGGUGCAGGAUGGGCCCGCGGCCUAUCAGCUUGUUGGUGGGGUAAUGGCCUACCAAGGCGACGACGGGUAGCCGACCUGAGAGGGUGACCGGCCACACUGGGACUGAGACACGGCCCAGACUCCUACGGGAGGCAGCAGUGGGGAAUAUUGCACAAUGGGCGAAAGCCUGAUGCAGCGACGCCGCGUGAGGGAUGACGGCCUUCGGGUUGUAAACCUCUUUCAGCAGGGACGAAGCGCAAGUGACGGUACCUGCAGAAGAAGCACCGGCUAACUACGUG